UAACAUGCAGUCGAACGGCAGCGCGGGAGCAAUCCUGGCGGCGAGUGGCGAACGGGUGAGUAAUACAUCGGAACGUGUCCUGUAGUGGGGGAUAGCCCGGCGAAAGCCGGAUUAAUACCGCAUACGCUCUACGGAGGAAAGGGGGGGAUCUUAGGACCUCUCGCUACAGGGGCGGCCGAUGGCGGAUUAGCUAGUUGGUGGGGUAAAGGCCUACCAAGGCGACGAUCCGUAGCUGGUCUGAGAGGACGACCAGCCACACUGGGACUGAGACACGGCCCAGACUCCUACGGGAGGCAGCAGUGGGGAAUUUUGGACAAUGGGGGCAACCCUGAUCCAGCAAUGCCGCGUGUGUGAAGAAGGCCUUCGGGUUGUAAAGCACUUUUGUCCGGAAAGAAAUCAUCCUGGUUAAUACCUGGGGUGGAUGACGGUACCGGAAGAAUAAGCACCGGC
rnacentral:rRNA from 2 species